rnacentral:rRNA from 1 species
CGAGUUUGAUCCUGGCUCAGAUUGAACGCUGGCGGCAGGCCUAACACAUGCAAGUCGAGCGGAAGGUUCUUCGGAACCGAGAGCGGCGGACGGGUGAGGAUAGCGUGGGAAUCUGCCUGUAGAUGGGGGAUAGCCCGGAGAAAUCCGGAUUAAUACCGCAUAAUACCUGAGGGUUAAAGUGGAGGAUCGCAAGACUUCACGUCUACAGAUGAGCCCACGUCAGAUUAGCUAGUUGGUAGGGUAAAGGCCUACCAAGGCGACGAUCUGUAGCUGGCCUGAGAGGGUGGCCAGCCACACUGGAACUGAGACACGGUCCAGACUCCUACGGGAGGCAGCAGUGGGGAAUAUUGGACAAUGGGCGCAAGCCUGAUCCAGCCAUGCCGCGUGUGUGAAGAAGGCCUUCGGGUUGUAAAGCACUUUAAGUUGGGAGGAAGGUUCGAUGGAUAAUACCCAUCGGAAUUGACGUUACCAACAGAAUAAGCACCGGCUAAUUCCGUG